CAAUAGCGUAUAUUAAAGUUGUUGCGGUUAAAAGCUCGUAGUUGGAUUUCUGCUGAGGACGACCGGUCCGCCUCUGGUGGAGUAUCUGGCUUGGCCUUGGGCAUUGCCUUUCGUUGGUAGUGAAACGUAGCUGCACUUGACUGUGUGGUGCGGUAUCCAGGACUUUUACUUUUGAGGAAAUUAGAGUGUUUCAAGCAGGCACACGCCUUGAAUACAUUAGCAUGGAAUAAUAAGAUAGGACCUUGGUUCUAUUUUGUUGGUUUCUAGAGCUGAGGUAAUGAUUAAUAGGGAUAGUUGGGGCGAUUCGUAUUUAACUGUCAGAGGUGAAAUUCUUGGAUUUGUUAAAGACGGAC
rnacentral:rRNA from 1 species